UGGGGAAUAUUGGACAAUGGGCGCAAGCCUGAUCCAGCCAUGCCGCGUGAGUGAUGAAGGCCCUAGGGUUGUAAAGCUCUUUCACCGGUGAAGAUAAUGACGGUAACCGGAGAAGAAGCUCCGGCUAACUUCGUGCCAGCAGCCGCGGUAAUACGAAGGGGGCUAGCGUUGUUCGGAUUUACUGGGCGUAAAGCGCACGUAGGCGGACUAUUAAGUCAGGGGUGAAAUCCCGGGGCUCAACCCCGGAACUGCCUUUGAUACUGGUAGUCUUGAGUUCGAGAGAGGUGAGUGGAAUUCCGAGUGUAGAGGUGAAAUUCGUAGAUAUUCGGAGGAACACCAGUGGCGAAGGCGGCUCACUGGCUCGAUACUGACGCUGCGGUGCGAAAGCGUGGGGAGCAAACAGG
rnacentral:rRNA from 1 species